GACGAACGCUGGCGGCGUGCUUAACACAUGCAAGUCGAACGGUGAUGCUCCAGCUUGCUGGCGUGGAUCAGUGGCGAACGGGUGAGUAACACGUGAGCAAUCUGCCCCAGACUCUGGAAUAAGCGCUGGAAACGGCGUCUAAUACUGGAUACGAAACUGGCCCGCAUGGGCAUGGUUUGGAAAGUUUUUCGGUUUGGGAUGGGCUCGCGGCCUAUCAGCUUGUUGGUGAGGUAAUGGCUCACCAAGGCGACGACGGGUAGCCGGCCUGAGAGGGCGACCGGCCACACUGGGACUGAGACACGGCCCAGACUCCUACGGGAGGCAGCAGUGGGGAAUAUUGCACAAUGGGCGAAAGCCUGAUGCAGCGACGCCGCGUGAGGGAUGACGGCCUUCGGGUUGUAAACCUCUUUCAGCAGGGAAGAAGCGAAAGUGACGGUACCUGCAGAAGAAGCACCGGCUAACUACGUG
rnacentral:rRNA from 1 species